rnacentral:rRNA from 1 species
UACGAAGGGGGCUAGCGUUGCUCGGAAUCACUGGACGUAAAGGGCGCGUAGGCGGCCAUUCAAGUCGGAGGUGAAAGCCCAGGGCUCAACCCUGGAAUUGCCUUCGAUACUGUUUGGCUAGAGACCGGAAGAGGUAAGUGGAACUGCGAGUGUAGAGGUGAAAUUCGUAGAUAUUCGGAGGAACACCAGUGGCGAAGGCGGCUUACUGGUCCAUUACUGACGCUGAGGUGCGAAAGCGUGGGGAGCAAACAGG